GCCCGGGCCGCCCCCGACCCUUGGCGGCCCUCCCCAUGGCGUCCUCACCCGCCCCUCAAGCCCCAAGCGCUCCACCUUCCCCUGCCUGGCGCCGCGCACACUUCGCCCGAGUCAGAGCCCCCGAACGCUGUCCCCUUCCUUCCCACGCUUUCCCAGUCCUCGCCUCCCUCUAGGCUCACCUCGCUCCAGUCUUAUAGAAACUCGGCCCUCGCUGACUUUGAAGGUGACUGUCACGCCUCGUUCCUGCUGAGCGUGCGCCAUACAGUCUCUUCUUUAUUCUUUUACCUGAGAGGUGUCGUCCGUGUGACACACUUGGAUGCGGACCGGACCGAGCAUCCGGUACCUUUCGGAAGUCCUGGAUGGGGUCAGUAAAAGUUAGUCGCAGUGCCCACUGUGUAAGCCCUUGUCCUAAAAAGUCCUGUGAAACGUACAAAGGUGGCGAGAACUCCAGGUUGCCACCGUCUAGGGGCCUGGAUGCCUUCUAUUUUUUCUCUGCCUCCUGACUUUGACCAGGGCAUUUUCACCUGCCUGAGUUCAGCCCUAAAAUAGGGUUCUAAGUUGACUUCUUGAGGAAAUCAGGCGUUUAGCACAGUGAGCUCAGGUUAGAUGCGAAUAGUUUAAGAUUUAAAUAAUGAUGACUUGAAAGGUGGCUGAUAGUUGAAUAUAGUCCUUUUAUUACUAUUGAUGUUAAAUAUGGUGGGACCACUAACUUGCUCUUUUAGUAAACCAAAAAUGCUGUAAAUGUUCUGGCAUUCAGAACUUUAGUAGGUGCAGUUGGCUUUAAAAAGAAUUGAACAGUUGAACGAUUAUGUCCUGAUUCGUUUAAGAACUCUUAACACUGGCAUAAUGGUUUUUGCGUUCAUUGCCUCACUCUUGGGGAGGUGAUAAGCAUGUCUCCUUUUACAGUAAAGGAAUCAAGUCACGUGAGGUCACAUGACUUGACCAGGCCCUCAAAGCAAAUAAGUAUGUCUCUGAUCAUCCACCCAAAUCCAAAUUUCCCAGGUUCUUUGCUCUACACUUUAUAUCCUCAUCAUGUUAUGUGAGUUAUGGUGUUUGUCAGAAACCUUCUUAUCUUUCUUGGCUACGUAGCCCUAGACGCAUAAAAUUGUGUGUAGUUAGGAUAGGGUUAAUCUCAGGAUCAUAAUAGUAGCUAUGACUUGAUAGCUCAUAAUAGCUGGCUAAUCUACAGUGCUAAGUAUUACCUAGGGCCAGUGAGCCUUCAGCUAUAAGAGUCACAGGCUGAGAACCUCAGUUGUUUAUUGCUCUGGCACCAAAUGAGUCCUGGAAUCCCAGUGUGUUGAAUUGACCAUGUUCCCAACUAAAUCCCCAUCUGAAUGGCUGAGACCUUGUGUUCCACACACUGUGUGCAUACCCAUCUGGUUCCUCCCAAGAGAGGCUUGGGUUUAGUCUGCAAUCCAAGCAGACCUUUUUUUUUUUCCUCCUUGAAGCAGAGACCAGUGCUCCUGAAAGCCUUCUGAAACUUAAUUCUCAUUUCAUAGGAGGCUUGAGAAUUAGCUAGGAUGUCUGUCUACCUAAUCCAAGGUAGGAUGUCUUUUGGGUAGGUGACCUGUCCCAAAAUGAAACUCUCCGCUCAUCCAUUCAACCAUUCAUUGGCUGUCUGUAUGGUACCAGGUGUGCUCAGGCUCCAAGGUCACUUGGUCCAGAGGCUUCCCUUCUAGUAUGGGAAGAGUUAGGGGCGGGCACCGUAUGUGUGAGUGCCUUUCAUGCACUUGCUCAUUUCAUUCUCAGCAAGAAGUGGUGACUGUUUUGACAGAUGAGGUGAUUAAAGCUUGUCGAGGCCCAGUGCGGCGCGCAGAGCACAGAGCUGGUAAGAGCGCCUCCACCCAAGCCCCGUCUCCACGACUCCGCGGUGUGUACUUCAUCCUGGCACACCAACUCUCUUAGUUGACAACCUAACUAGAUCGAAAAUGGGCUUAUUCUUUUAGAUUUGCCUUUUUCUAUAAAACUGAAGGGAAGGUAAGACAACCCAGUUGAUGAAUGGCUUUGUUUUAUUUAGUUUCACUGAGUCAGGAGUUUAAUAUUCUCUAGUUGUGACUGUGUUUAUCUUUCCAAGACUUUGUGUAAGCUUCCAUCUUAUCAGCAACCUCAGCACCCACCUUCUUCUGAAGCAUCAGGUCAGUCUCUGCUCUUCUGUCGAAAAAUCAUCAAACCUCCCGUGGCCAGGAGGAUGGCAUUCGGUGUCUUUCCUUUGGCAUUUUUGCUGCCCACCAGCCAUCCUGCACGUUCCCACUCCCCCAGCAUUACUCGCUCCCCUCCACGGACCCUGCUCUCCAGCCAAGCUGGCUCCUGGAUGGAAAGUUCCUGAACCCGCACCCCUGCGUGAUUCCUGUUAGAAAAAGAGCCACCUCCACUCGCAGCUCGUUUGCUAGGCUUUUCCAGCCGCUCCAGCUCGGGGCGGCCUCACCCAGUUCUGAGCUUCAUAGAUACGUAAUUGUCUGUACCACUCGGUUGGAUUUGAUACAUUAACCACAGAAUCUGUUGUUUGAAAUGUAUUUUUCCCCCGCAACUGGAUGAUCAGCUCCUUGAAAACUGGGACCUUCGUCUUGCGUAGCAAAAUGAUGAAUGAAGCAUGAGAUAGACUCCCGGGUGCCCUGCCAUCCAGCGAAGUCGGCAGCUAACCACUCCCAUUCGUCCUGAGGUCAGACGGCUCCAUUCAGAGGUCUGAGCCUGGAACGGAACCUGGAGGCCAGGGAAGGUUUCCGUGCGGCCGAGAGAGAGGGAGACAUCCUCCCAGACGUUGGGACCGCCCUUGUCCUGGGGGAUUCCUGAUGUCGCAUCCGAUUCUGUGAGACAUAACUGGACUCGUUUCCUUACUCUUCCCCACAUACAAGAGAAAACUCUUGGUUAUCAUGAGGUUGAGAAGACAUCAUCAAAGCUCAAAGCCGUGACCUUGAGACUUGGCUUGUGGGAGGGGAGCUGGGCCCAGGGAGAUCCAGAGCUGCCAGCAACACCGUGUCCUCAGACGUUCAGGGUUCCCUUGCUUUUUGACCAAGGCCGUCCACACACAUAAGGGAAAAACAUCACCAACCGAAAGGCAGAAAGUCACGUGGAUUCAAGAUAUUUCUCAAGCAGAGGGUGAGUGACCCUAGCCUGACCUUGGCCUCUGCGCGUGGUCUGGACGCGCCGGGUGCAGAAGCCUUUUCAGAGCUGAGAGGCCAGUGAAGGAGACUAGACCAUGGGAUAUAGAGAGUUACGAGGAGUUACAGAGGUCAUCUGGUCCAGCCGCCUGUCGACGUGGAAAUCCUUUCUAAACCAUCUCUGCCGCGUUCUUGCCCACUCUGUGCUCAUCUCUUCCCGUGGGGAGGACCGCUGUCUCCCAGGAGGACCUCUGUGGGCUGCCCUCGCUACUCAGAAGCUCUUCUUUGCACGGAGUCUGACUGUGCCUUCCCCCGUUGGUCCUAGACUUACCCCCUCUCCUCGCCCCCAUGGGGCCUCUUUCGUGCCCUAGGCCUUCAGUGUUGAAAGAUGGGCAUCGCUUCAUUCUGAAACCCUUUCUGAGCCACCACCCCCAUGCCUGCAGCUUACCCUCAAGUGACAAGGUUCUGAGUACUUUGACCUUUUACCAGGGAUUAAAAUGUGAAAUGGCCCUAUAACAGUUUUAUAGCUUGUGUACAGUUUUACAGGUGUUAUCCAUCAUGGUCUUUGUGAUUCUUAUACAGGGAUUCAUAAGGUCAGUUCUGUACCAGACAUACUGAGAUGUUUGCUGUUAUUCAAUAAUAAUAUGCAGUGUAUCUGUUAGUAUGCAGUUCAUCUAUAAAUAACAGAGACUCAAAACAACAGUGGUUUGAAUAAGAGAAGUUUGUCUUUCAUGAAGAAGUCUGGAGGUAGGCAGCCCAGGGCUGAUCCUGCUCUGCAUUGCCCUCAGUUGACCCAGACUUCUGUUUGUUGCUCUUCCCUGAAAGACUCAUCCCCAAAGUUACCUCAUGGUCCAAAAUAGCUGCUCCAGCUCUAGCCAUCACAUCACGUUCCACCCUGCAGUGGGAAGGACAAAGAAAAAGAUGGAACGACAUCUCUUCCCUGCGGUGGGAAAGACAAAGAAAAAGAGCAGCCCUUUGCUGCUCCUGCCAUCUUUCAAGGUUCCCAGAAGCUGCUGCAGGAUACCUCUGCUUACAUCUGAGAAGCCAGAACUCAGUCACAUGACUACCCCUAGCAGCAGUGCAAACUUUAUUCUGAACAGUCAUGUGCCCAGCUAAAAAGUGAAGCUUCUGUUGAUUUGGGAAAAAGGGACGCAGCCAUUGAGGAACAACAGCCUUGUCUCUUGCUCUGGACAUCCUCUCCGCUCUGGCUGUCACGAAGCUUACCACUGUUACAUGGUCAUAAGUCACCACAGACUAAACUGGGAUGGUUUUGCCCCUGCAUCCUCUCCUCUCCUUACUCACCUCUUGUUCUGUUCUUGCUUGAAAAGUUUCAGUGCGAAUGUAUCUCUGAUGGUAAAGUUGACUCAAAUCAUUUUUGGAAGUAAAAUAAAUAUAAGUAAGUGAAA